GCGCUCCAGUGAGACCCCCUAUUUUUCGUGUAACAUGAGUACAAUGAAUAAGACAUAUAAUACUAAUGAACAAGAUGUAUAUACUGAUGAAAAAUAAAAUUUAAAAAAUUCGUAAUGAAUAAGACAUAUAUACUGAUGAACAGGGCCGUAUAUACUGAUGAACAAUGUAGUAUAUACUGAUGAAUAACAAAAUUUAAAAUAUUCUGCUCCCUCCAGGAUUCGAACCCUGCGAAAAAAAAUCACCCUCCAGAUACAAUAUCAGCCAUAGGAUUGAUAAAAUAAACGCACCAGAUCGUGCCCUAGAUCUCACUAAAAUUAGGGGGUCUCAUUGGAGCG
rnacentral:lncRNA from 1 species